UACGGAGGAUGCGAGCGUUAUCCGGAUUUAUUGGGUUUAAAGGGUGCGUAGGCGGCCGAGUAAGUCAGCGGUGAAAUUUUGCAGCUUAACUGUAACAGUGCCGUUGAUACUGUGAGGCUAGGAUUUGGUUGCUGUGGGUGGAAUGUGUGGUGUAGCGGUGAAAUGCUUAGAGAUCACACAGAAUAUCGAUUGCGAAGGCAGCUCACAAAGCCAAGAUUGACGCUGAGGCACGAAAGUGUGGGGAUCAAACA
rnacentral:rRNA from 1 species